rnacentral:rRNA from 1 species
GUCGGGGGGAAGAACUACAGGAUUCCCCUAGUAACUGCGAGUGAAGCGGGAAAAGCUCAAAUUUGAAAUCUGACGGUCCUUGGCCGUCCGAGUUGUAAUCUAGAGAAGUGUUACCCGCGCUGGACCGUGUACAAGUCUCCUGGAAUGGAGCGUCAUAGAGGGUGAGAAUCCCGUCUCUGACACGGACUACCAGGGCUUUGUGGUAUGCUCUCAAAGAGUCGAGUUGUUUGGGAAUGCAGCUCAAAAUGGGUGGUAAAUUCCAUCUAAAGCUAAAUAUUGGCGAGAGACCGAUAGCGAACAAGUACCGUGAGGGAAAGAUGAAAAGAACUUUGGAAAGAGAGUUAAACAGUACGUGAAAUUGCUGAAAGGGAAACGCUUGAAGUCAGUCGCGUUAGCCGGGGAUCAGCCUCGCAUUUGUGUGGUGCACUUUCCGGUUGACGGGUCAGCAUCAAUUUUGACUGCUGGAAAAAGUCCUGAGGAAUGUGGCAGCUCUGGCUGUGUUAUAGCCUCUGGUCGCAUACAGUGGUUGGGAUUGAGGAACUCAGCACGCCGCAAGGCCGGGUUUCGACCACGUCCGUGCUUAGGAUGCUGGCAUAAUGGCUUUAAGCGACCCGUCUUGAAACACGGACCAAGGAGUCUAACAUGCCUGCGAGUGUUUGGGUGGAAAACCCGAGCGCGUAAUGAGAGUGAAAGUUGAGAUCCCUGUCGUGGGGAGCAUCGACGCCCGGACCAGAACUUUUGGGACGGAUCCGCGGUAGAGCAUGUAUGUUGGGACCCGAAAGAUGGUGAACUAUGCCUGAAUAGGGUGAAGCCAGAGGAAACUCUGGUGGAGGCUCGUAGCGAUUCUGACGUGCAAAUCGAUCGUCAAAUUUGGGUAUAGGGGCGAGAGACUAAUCGACCAUCUAGUAGCUGGUUCUGCGAUUUUCUCUCAAAAGAAUAAAAACAACGGCUAAAUGAGAGGGGGUCCAUAUGAGUUUUUCGCGCCUCAUCACCCACAUUUGACGAUCGAUUUGCCGUCGAAAUGCCUAGAGCCUCCACCAGCAGUCUCUCUGGCUCACUAUUCAGCAUAGUCACUUUCGGUCAAUACGGUCUUUCAGCGGAGUGCUCCAAGAUUGGGUGCGGGUAAGUUCUCUAAAGGGAAACAACCAUCUA